rnacentral:lncRNA from 1 species
AAGAGAAGGGGGAUGAGCAUGAAUGGUUUGAAAAAUAUGUAUCUGUAUUGACGUGCAUAAUGCAUCAAGUGUUUCAUUAGGCUUUUUACCUUUAAGGGGUAUAUGUUUCCCCCUCCCCUAUAUGGUAUAGAAAGGCAUGAUAGGAUUGCUCUUUGUGGAUGAUGGCGUACUCUCUAACGAGAGCGGUGACACGAAUAUCUGUUAGGGGUC